rnacentral:rRNA from 1 species
UACGGAGGGUGCAAGCGUUGUUCGGAAUCACUGGGCGUAAAGCGCGUGUAGGCGGUCUCCUAAGUCUGGUGUGAAAGCCCGGGGCUUACCCCCGGAAGUGCACUGGAUACUGGGAGACUGGAGUACCGGAGAGGAGGGUGGAAUUCCUGGUGUAGCGGUGAAAUGCGCAGAUAUCAGGAGGAACACCAAUGGCGAAGGCAGCUCGCUGGGACGUGACUGACGCUGAGACGCGAAAGCGUGGGGAGCAAACAGG